GGCGGCAUGCCUUACACAUGCAAGUCGAACGCGAAAGUAGGGGCAACCCUGCGAGUAGAGUGGCGAACGGGAGAGUAAUACAUCGGAACGUACCCAGUCGUGGGGGACAACCUGUCGAAAGAUAGGCUAAUACCGCAUACGACCUACGGGUGAAAGCGGAGGACCGCAAGGCUUCGCGCGAUUGGAGCGGCCGAUGUCGGAUUAGCUAGUUGGCGGGGUAAUAGCCCACCAAGGCGACGAUCCGUAGCUGGUUUGAGAGAACGACCAGCCUCACUGGGACUGAGACACGGCCCAGACUCCUACGGGAGGCAGCAGUGGGGAAUUUUGGACAAUGGGCGCAAGCCUGAUCCAGCCAUGCCGCGUGAGUGAAGAAGGCCUUCGGGUUGUAAAGCUCUUUCGGCCGGAACGAAAUCGCACCCGCUAACACCGGGUGUGGAUGACGGUACCGGAGUAAGAAGGANCGGCUAACUACGUGCCAGCAGCCGCGGUAAUACNUANGGUCCGAGCGUUAAUCGGAAUUACUGGGCGUAAAGCGUGCGCA
rnacentral:rRNA from 1 species